rnacentral:rRNA from 1 species
UACGGAGGGUGCAAGCGUUAAUCGGAAUUACUGGGCGUAAAGGGUGCGUAGGCGGUUCGUUAAGUCUGUCGUGAAAUCCCCGGGCUCAACCUGGGAAUGGCGAUGGAUACUGGCGAGCUAGAGUGUGUCAGAGGAUGGUGGAAUUCCCGGUGUAGCGGUGAAAUGCGUAGAGAUCGGGAGGAACAUCAGUGGCGAAGGCGGCCAUCUGGGACAAUACUGACGCUGAAGCACGAAAGCGUGGGGAGCAAACAGG